GGAAGGAAUAUAAUGGAGGGAGUGCGCCGUAUCUCGGCAAUGUAAAUUCUUGGCACCAGUGCAAGCACCUUUUAUUACUCUUUUCAAUUAGCGCGCCCUUCACCGCGCAUGCUUACUUUAAUAAUUUCAUCAGCCAGCACUGACCAGUGUCGUACGAUUCUGUUUUUGUCAUUUUCGCUUUUAACCUCGUGUUUAGUGUGAACGUUUUGUUUUGAAUUUGCGAUAAGCGUUUCAUGUUUAUUUAAAAACUUAAAAUGGUUAGUUGCAAAUUGUGUAAAGUUACGAGUGGCUCCAGGUCAACAAUUGGUAGAGAAAAAAUAACGUUUCACAGGUGUCCCCAGAAACCUGAAUUAAAGAAACUGUGGACAGACUUCCUUUAUCUUCACCUAGGAAAUUCUGUGUCUGUGAACAACUUUUUCCUGUGUUCAUUUCAUUUUGAAGAAAAGUGUUUUGAUAGAACAUCAGCCCAGAAAGUAGUUUUAAGACCACAUUCAGUACCAACUAUUUCUUAUACUUAUGAAGAAAGGAUUACCAAUGUAGUGACCUUUAGAGGCAAUGAAACGCAUCA